GUCCCAGCCGUAAACGAUGGACGCUAGGUGUGGGGGGAACAUCCCUCCGUGCCGAAGCCAACGCAUUAAGCGUCCCGCCUGGGGAGUACGGCCGCAAGGCUAAAACUCAAAGGAAUUGACGGGGGCCCGCACAAGCAGCGGAGCAUGUGGCUUAAUUCGAAGCAACGCGAAGAACCUUACCAGGGCUUGACAUAUCGGUGAAGCCGGAGAGAUCCGGUGGCCGAGAGGAGCCGAUACAGGUGGUGCAUGGCUGUCGU
rnacentral:rRNA from 1 species